UACAGUUUUGUUCCUCCCCGGGAGGAAGGGAGGUCUACUCAUAGAAAUUAAUAGACACAUUUUAAAAGGUACGGUAUUUGGGUUGCACUAACUCUUCCGCAAAACCCGAAAAGUGAUUUUAAAAGUUUUAAACAUUAAGUCUCCCCAACAUCUUUGCAAGUCAACGGAGAACAAGAUUUCUGCAUGCAGCUGAGCUCUAGAAAUCAUCUGAACAAGGUCCAUACUUAGACUGACUGGCAUGACAGGGGUCUCCUCUGCUCCCCUAAAAUCAAGCAUCCACUCGCUCUGACCCCCUUGACUUCCAACUGUUAUUAUCAGACCAAUCUGAUUCUCCUUCAGUGAAUGUUGCUAAAUACUGCUCUAUUGUUUGUACAAUAUGCCACAAUAUUUCGUCAUAUAGUUCUUAGACACCUCCCAUCUGGCUCUGUCUAAACAACUUGCUAUGUGAAUUACUUGGGGGUGUGCAAUAAAUGUUACGUUAGGACUGGAGUGAUUCUUCAUUUAUU